CAGCCGCCGCGGUAAAACGUAGGGUGCGAGCGUUAAUCGGAAUUACUGGGCGUAAAGCGUGCGCAGGCGGUCGUGUAAGACAGGUGUGAAAUCCCCGGGCUUAACCUGGGAACUGCGCUUGUGACUGCACAGCUAGAGUAUGGCAGAGGGGGGUGGAAUUCCACGUGUAGCAGUGAAAUGCGUAGAGAUGUGGAGGAACACCGAUGGCGAGGGCAGCCCCCUGGGCCAAUACUGACGCUCAUGCACGAAAGCGUGGGGAGCGAACAGGAUUAGAUACCCCUGUAGUCCCUGUCUCUUAUAC
rnacentral:rRNA from 1 species